AAGACAAUACUGUUUGGACUCAUUUCUGUAGUGUUACCAGAGAAAUUUCUUAGAGCCUGUAGAGUUCUGGGAAGCAAGAGGAGGCACAGCCUUCUCCCCUUCUUCUUCAUGAAGCUGGCCAUGGUGUUGCUCAGCCCUAACCGCGCCAUGGCUGUUGAUGACCAUUGUCCUUAGGAGGGGUUGUGGGAAGAUGGCAUCUGAAUGCC